rnacentral:tRNA from 2 species
GGGGGUAUAGCUCAGUGGUAGAGCACAUGCCUAGCAUGCACGAGGUCCUGGGUUCAAUCCCCAGUACCUCCA